rnacentral:tRNA from 1 species
GCACCGUUAGCUCAGUUGGUAGAGCAACUGACUCUUAAUCAGUGGGCCGCAGGUUCGAACCCUGCACGGUGCA